CACCUGAGGUCGAGCUGCAAACAGGUCUUUUGUUUCACAGGUAACACUUCCCACAAGGAUGUGAGUAGCAAGUCCCUUCACUUCUGUGACCUGUAGGAGAGAAGAACAGGAUAUUUAGGACUAUACAAGGUGUUGUAACCCUUAAUUACAAGGACUAUUUUCAUGCCAGUGAUUAUAGAGGGAAAUGGAAUCCAAAAAAGAUCCCCCCCAUGAUCACUUCUUUAGGACAUUUAAUGUUACAGGAAUAACAGCACUAGUGAUGCCUAGUGAUUCAAAGCAAUGGGCUUCAGGUCUAUUUGGAAAUAAAAGUUUCUGUUACGCAGAUGAAGGGUGUUUUGCAAUUAAACCAAUAUGCCAGAGCUGUUUAGCUGAAUCUGGCCCUAAAAACAGCAGCUGAGCUAUGCCUGCUUGCACCGAAGCUGAAUGUAACCCCGCGCACUUCUGUUGCUCUCUAAUCCCUGUGUUGGCAACACCCGGUUGUGGCCCUUGCAGUGUAACCUGGUCACUGUCCCAGUCCUUUCCAGCCAGGAUGUGUGCCAGCAGCAGCUCCGCGCCAAAGUGGCUCCUAGCAUGUCAUUAAUCUCUCAAGAAACGUGAACUACGUUAAGGAAAAAAAGACUGUGGGAGGUGGGUAUUGGACCCCUUCCAGCUCUUCCUUCAGAUCGAGGAAGGAUGCCACAGUUUGUGUGCUGCGAUUAGAUCCUUCUUAAUUUACUGCCUGUUUAAUAAAAUGGGUGGUGAUCAGAGCAAGUAAUACUGGAUGGGAUGCAGCAGGUAUCUGCUUGUUCCAGCCAACCUGCCACCCUGGCAUCUGCAGGGUAGGAGGGAGCAUAUAUAGCUGCAACGUAUGUAGCUUAGGGGCAGAUUUACUGCUUAACGUGUAGUGGUUCCUGGGUAUAAACCUGGCCUUUUGGAUCAUAAUUAUUAUUUCAAGGAGCUCUUUGGGCUCAUGUCAUCCAUCUUUAUAUCAGGCAUUCACCUGAGGAUAAAUUAAGAAAGAAUAAUCCUGCUUCACCAAUUUUGCUGUUAACCCCUUUAUCUCAUUGAAGCCAGUGGCAAAGUUUCUGUGGCCUCCAACAGUGCAAGAGCAAAACAGUUGAACUAAUGAAGAUGUACCUCUGUGUACUCCUUGUAACUCCUGUUGAUUUCAGUUAAACUCUCUCGAGCUGCUUUGCUGGCAGGAGACAUUGCAAAGGCUUGCUUCAUUUUGCUUGCACCAUCACAGAGACGUCUUUGGAUACAAUAGGCUUCAUAAAGCUCAUCCACCUGGAGAGAAAAACAAAGAUGUAUUUGGAAAAAAAAAAAAAAGCAAAACAAAAAAAUCAACAUCUGAGAACUCAACAAAAUAAAGGCAGCAAACUGAAGUAGUGUGUGAUGCAAGGAAACGAAGCCAAACAAGUGGUAAACCAUUAGAUCCAGGGCAGGCAAAUGAAUCUGUGAUACUCUUACAGUUGACACCAUGAGAUAAAAAUAACUUCUGCUGCAAAAAUCUCAUUACAGCAACAGUAGAUGCUGUCAGCAAUUCACCUGCUUGCCCUGUGCAUGCCUUUUAGCUAUUGCUGCUGCCUUCUUCCCCCCAGUCUGGGACACGUGCAAUUGCUGCCUUAUGGCAGGAAUGCAGCAAGCUUCUGAAAUGUAUUGGUGUGGAAGAGCUCUUUCAGAGGCACGUGCAACGUCCAGACUGCUAAAUGGGAGCAGACACAUUAAAAGGCACGUUUAUCAGGGCCAGCAAUGCCUUCAGGAUUGCUAACACCAGCCGUGGGUUGAGACUAAUCCUCCAGAACUAGGAGAUGUAGCCAGAAUCAGGAAAAGCUUAGGAACAGCUGAUGUCAAAUUAAGAAAAUAUUUUGAGCUUCAGCCUCACAGCCACUCACAUAACUUUUUAGUGAUCUCCUUCAGUCCUUGGCAUGAUGUAGACUCCAAACAUUUAGUAAGCAGCUCUGGAGGUUCUGCAAAACUUGGUUACAUGCAAUUUAUAGUCUCAUCCGGAUCUAGCUUCAGAGUGUGAUGGAUUUAUGUGUCUCAUGCUUUGGUUUUCCUUUUUCCUCUAAUCCCUGCGCUGAAGGUACAUGUUUACUCCAUCCAAACUGUUCAGUGAGAGUCUACGAUGGGAUAACUUCAUCUAUAUGAAGUUAAGCUGCUAGAUACAGGAGACAUAGGCUUUCUAAUCUGACUUUAUCAGGGUGAGGAGGGAGAAAAGAAUAGAGAAAGAUACAUCUUCUAGCAACCCUUCUAAGAUAGGAUGGUAUCUGUUUUUUACUUAGAAUAACUGUUUCCCUUCAUUCUCUCUGACACCAAGUGACUGCCCCAUGCACCCUGGUCCUCACUAGUGGAUUUUCACAGCAGAAUUUCUCUCAGUGAAAACCUUCCAGUGCCUUGGCUUCCUGUCUAUAACUGUUUUUCUGCAUUAGGAAUAAUCCCGAUAUGACCAUCCAGGUGUGCUGUGAUUCCCACUUUUCCGAGCCUGCUUAACCUCCAACAGAAAGUGUCACCUCCUAUUUGGAGCAGGACUGCUCUUCCUGACAGCUUCAAAGCAUGACACUGAUUUUUACAAGGUGAACUUGGACUCCUGAUGGCUGAAGCGCCUAAUGAGGGAUCUCCAGCUGACAUGGGAGCUGCUUUGCAGGUGAAGCAGUGCAUCAAAGAGUAAUAGAAGCUUUGGCAGCAUUUUGCCAUUUCAAAGUUACAGGGAAAAGCUUCUUGGAGCCAUAUCCACCACUAUUUCCCUUGCAAGUCCACACCAUUCCCCAUGCUAAAGACAGCUCCUGUAAAUAGUCGUCCCUUGGUAUUUACUCCUGCUGUUAGUGUGGAGCAUUGACCCAGUGCUGGCGUCCUGUGUGGUGGGGACAGACUUAUCCACUCUGACAGACGAGCUCUCUGCUCCUCACAUCUCAUUUUAGGACAGCGGGUGCCCUCGUUCAGCACUGGCACAGCUUCCUGCCAAAAGAGCCCUCCUCUGGGGCUUGCUCGAAAACACCAGUGUGCCACCACCUGAGCAAGACUGUGAAUUUUAAGGCCAUGCACCUCUGCUCUUCCUGCCUCUGUUGCUGUGGGUUACAGAAAGUGAACUAAUGUGCUCGGCUGACCAGCGUUACCUCUCGCGUUUGGUGCUUUUCGUUCCUAUUAUAAGCACAGAAACCAUUAGCUCUGAGCAGCUGGAGUGGGAAGGACGUGAAUGGAAAUGUUCUUCAAGCAGUAAUUUUGCCAUUCAUGUUGCCAGCAAGAGAGAAGGUGGUUUGGGGAACAAAUUUUCAGCCUAUUGCCUGGUGACUUUUUCAGCUCUGAGAGUAAGAGAACAUGAAAUUAAAAGGUUUGGAUGGGCUGUCAUAAUUGGAGCACUUCAAGCUGCAUGAACGCUUUUCAAACAACUCUCAAAAGACAUUUCAUCCGUCAGAAAUAAUUCAUUCUUUUGUCAGGCUCAGGAAAGUAACUAAUAGCUAGCAGAUAUGUUUAUAACCGAGAGAAUACAUGCUGUGGAUUUUGUCCAGCUCGAAAAUGUAUUGGUAUAAAUCAUGAGUACCUCUACUGGGUAUGAUAGACUCGUUCUCACCGAUGUAAUCAAGCAGAUGUGGGCCCACCAAGCCACGCAGAAGCAGCAUUAGCAGUGAAAACUGGGAAUAACUCCAGUCUAGCCAUGGUGCACGGUGGGAACAACUGCUGAACUAGAUUGUUUUCAGCUGUAACGCCAUUUCUACCUAUAGUUUGAAAAUAAGCAUGCUGUGAGAGAGACUUUCCCCAGCAGCUGUCUUAUCCCAUGUUCUCUGUAUGGCUGAAAACACAUGGGAGCAUCACGGGGCAUGGAGAACAGCUGGACAUCAGAAGCUGCAAACCCUUUCUUUGUCUCUGACCCCCAAGUGACUACAGCAAAAAUACUGAAUGUGGGAGAGGCUUUGUCAGCACUGGAGUGGAGGGGCACCUUUUUGGCCAAGGGUUUGUUUUCCUCAUAACGUAAGAGCUGGUGCAGAAGACAGAUGCUAAGGAUGCUUGUUACCUUGCUGAUGUGGAACUCCAGCCUCCUCAUGUAUCGCUCCACUGCUUUGAUUUGCUGGAGGAAACAGAGAAGCAGAGGGUGAGGCACAACUGAAUGCAGCAGCAGGACAUCUCUACUAGCUCUGCUCAUGUCUUUGGGUCCCCAGGAGCCUGAGAAACUCCUUAAAACGUGCAGGGUUUCAUUGCCCACAAAUCCAGAAUCGACUACAACACCUUACUAUGAUUAAUCUGCUGAUGAAAAAAUUGAUCUCAUUGGCAUCUAUAUAAAAAAAACUUUAUUAAACAAACAAACAAAAGCUUUCUGUUGGGUCUGCAUAGGUUUUCCUUGAUGAAAAUUUCCUAGUUUGUUGUUGUUGUUAAGGAAUGUGAGACUUUUUGGCUUGGAAAACUGUAUUUUUUCAGUACUUUGAAAACCUGUAUUAAAACUGAUGAGGUUUUGCAUUUCAAAAUGCAUUCUUUUCCUGAAUAAGCUGUUUUUGAAAACAAAAACAAGCUUGGUAUUUUGACUGAAAAAAGAUAGAUUGCUCAGGAAACUUUUUUUUGAAAUCCUUUCUUUUGUUUUACUCAGAAUUUCCCAGGGGGAAGAAUAUUUUUAAUUUUUCAACUUGUUAUUCCCCAGCAUUGGCAGGAGCAGGGAUGGGAGAGGACUGUGCAGGCCAGAUCCGUCCUAAGGGGCAGCUACCAGCAAGCCCACCUCUAACUGAGUACUCCUGUGAAGCAUUUCUCCUGCUCUUUGUGAAUGCCCAGAUCGUGAAGCUUUGAUGGUGUUGGCCUGAUAGAUUUGGCUGAGAGAGUUCUCCCAUGCCAGCUCCAUACAUCAUACAACCAUUAACCCUUCUUGCAACAAGUGUCCAAGAGAGUAACGUACCUUAUCUAAAUCAUACAGGACUCCCUGCAACAGAGAAGAAGAAAUUGUGAUUUAUUUUGCAGCAUAAGAGCAACAGAGAAACAUGAGAAAGCAAUAUUUAUAAGUGAAUAGAAAUAGAAAAUCAAGAUCUGGAAGGGACAAACAGCACACAUGCAAAUUCCCGACUUCCCGCUCCCAGCCUGUGACUGCUCCAGUACCUCUGGAAGAUUGUAGUGCAUCUACCCAAUAAAAAGCGUGACACGUACCAGG